rnacentral:rRNA from 1 species
AGGACGAACGCUGGCGGCGUGCUUAACACAUGCAAGUCGAGCGGAAAGGCCCUUCGGGGUACUCGAGCGGUCGAACGGGUGAGUAACACGUGAGGAACCUGCCCUUAACUCUGGGAUAGCUUCGGGAAACCGGAAUUAAUACCGGAUACGACUUCGAUCGGCAUCGAUCGCGGUGGAAAGAUUCAUCGGUUAGGAUGGACUCGCGGCCUAUCAGCUUGUUGGUGAGGUAGCGGCUCACCAAGGCGACGACGGGUA